AAGACAUGUAAGAUGGUUUUUUACAUCAUUUUAACCAUUUUCAGCAUCCAAUUCCAUGGCAUGAAGCAGGUUCUCCUUGUGCGAUCAUCACCACCAUCAUCUCCAGGACUUCUGCCCCAAGUGAAGCUCCUGACAGGCCCCCCAGCGCUGGUGGGGGUUCAGUGCCCGCCCACCGCGAGUCAGGAAUGUCACAAUAAAGCAAGUCUCUGGACCAGCGGGCUCCGUGCGUGGGGAGUUGUGGCUACACUCUCCUGUCGUCUAUUAGGUGUGCAUUAGUGUUGUGUCUAGAAACCCCGGGACACCUUGCCGACAUCCCACACAGAAGGCGCGGAGGGACGCGCUGGGCGGGGUCGCCACCAACCUCCUGCCUGCGGAACCGCUAUCCACAAGGUGCAAUAACGUGGGGCGCAAUAAGACAACGCCCAGCUCCUGGCGACCCCCAUUCUGCUGCUUCUAGAGACCAGGCUGCAUCCCGAGGUUUGAAGUCACCCCGGGAGUCAAACGCCCUGGACGCACCCACCUGCACGGCCGCUCCCAGCUGCUCGCCGGCGUCUGUCUGCGUCCUCACCUGUGAAAUGGACCCGCGCGGCCAUCGCCCCUGGCCUGCGCUGAAAGAGGGUCAGCGGUCUACGCACUCACAGCCCCCAGGCAGCGCGAGCAAGGGUUUGCAACUAGUAUUUCUGGGCCGCCGGGCUGACGGGUCACGUGUCCCCAAGACGAGCCUCCAGUUAUCACUGAUCCACGGCUGUGAGAAAGGAAAGAAAACCUGGUGACAGGUUCCCCAACAUCAGUGAUAAACACGUUCUCCGAGGCUCGGCCUCUGUGCCAAGGGACAUAAAGCAGGCUCCUUAUGGUUCUGAUUAUGCGAAUUGGGUCCAGGUGUCUUUGAAGUCAGACAUAAACUCCACAAUUGCAGGCCAGACUAGAAGAUGGUGAUGUUUCCUGACGAGCAAUCAAGUGGACCUGAGUGAGUGGGAUCAGGUUCUGGCAGCAGCAACUCACAGACAUGGAUGGAAGGAGCUAAAGAGCCUGUGCUGCUGACAUUUUGAGGCAAAACCUCCCAAAUUCCAGGUGACAGUCACAGAAAUGCUGCUUUAUAAUGACCUAUUUAAUAUCGAGGCGAGGAGGGCAUCUCAAGCUGCACACAACAGCUCUCUGGCCGGAGUUUGAAGGUACUUGGUUAAAACUGGAGUUUUGAUGGACCAAACACUGCUUCCCACCUCGGUCAUUUUGGGGGGAUAUUACUUUGCUGUUGGGGGUUGUCCUGAGCAUUGUAGGGUAUUUAGCAGCCUUCCCGGCCUCUGCCCAAUAAAUGCCAGGGCACUACCUCCCAACACCCAGGCCACGAUCCCAAGAAUGUCUCUCACACUGCCAAAGGCCCCUUGGGCAGGGGCGCCACCCCGCCCGCCCCAACUGAACCACCAGGCGAGAGCAGUAUUUCUUAUUUGACCAGAUCCAGCAUCUAUUUAUAUUUACUGAGCUGCUGGUGGGCAGCAGGCACUCUGUUGGGUACUUUGACUCAAAGUUCCAGUAAUUAGGAUGAGAAAAUGCAUCCGAAUUACAUUUCACUAGAAAUAAGGACAGAAAGGAAGUGGCGUGCUCAGGCUGAAUCAUGAAUGAACGUCCAGCCACCAGGGGGCUGUUCAGAUCCCAACCGGCCCUUCUCUUGUCUAGGCUGGGACUCUCAUCCCGGCAGAACCCCGGCUGGCUGCGCAGCGUCAGUGACUCUGAAGACAGACCCUGCCUGAGGACUCUGGGAACCAGCUCUGACAGAUGAACUCCCCAAAGCAAACCAGAUAAAGAUGGUUCUCUUCCAGGGUGCAGCUCUCAGAUUACAGUGUCACCAGGUUUCAGCUCCCACUCAGCCGCACGGCUUUUAUUUCCACCGAAGCUGUUUUCUGCACUGGGUAUGAGGAUUGCAUGGGGACUUGCUCAUUUCUGUACUCAGCGGCGCCUGCUUCACGUAAACAUGUGUGUGUUGAAUGAGUGAAUGAAUGGAGGGGGAAGGAGAGAGGAGAGGGAAGUGAGCGUGCAUGUUGAUGUCUCCCCGCGCCCUCUUGGAGCCUGCCCUCUACGUCCUUUAUUUGGAAGACACUUGGAUAAGAGGAUGCCCUCAUCUCUGUGUUCCCAAAUGACCUUCAGUUCUGAGAAACAGCACAAGGGGUUUCAGUACUGGAAGAAUACUUAGACAUGAUCUCAUCCAUAUCCUCGCGGGUUCGUGAAUCAUCCCUGCAUAUUCUUGAGAUGCCCAUUAAGCCCACUCGUUGUUCAGUGGUUCUGGAUGUCUGCUUUGCGCCUGUGCUGUUCUGGGAGGAUGAUAGUGAGGACACUGGCGUCCGUCCAGACUACAUCAGUUAAGUAACAGGCUAAGCUGCUGAGCCAAAGGAACCCCGUGUUAACAACAAAGUAGUUUACGGGACUGUGUUUCAACAGGGCGAAGGCAGCAGGUGGUUCAAAUCCAGUGUGACGUUCUCCUGCAUGAAGUUACCCAGGAACCCAGGCUCCUUCUACCUGGCUGCUCCCUGAGCCGUGUUCCCCCCCAGCAGGGCUGAGGCUGGCUCACCCUACCAUGUGGCCAGCACAGCCUCCAGGAAGCUGGAGACAGCAUGCCUGGAGGUCGGCCCACCAUUUCUCACAGCCUAUUGGCUGGCACUUAGUCACAUGGCCACUCAUACCUGCAAAGGAAGCUGGGAAAUGUAGUCUCUAGCCUCGCACAUGCUCAGCUGAAACAGACUGUGCGAGUGUUGUGUUUUCAGAAGGGUUUGUCUCCUACCUUCCAGGCGACCCUUUUUCCAACUCACUCAUGGUGUCUUUUAGCAAAUCAUUGUUACAUGUGGCUUCUGCUUCCUAAGAAAAAUUUAUUCUCCCCAACACAGACUACUCUAUAGCUCAGAGGCCCCCAGCCCUUCUCUUUGGGAUGGGUGGAUUCAUGGAGCCUUUUGAGAUUCAUGAAAGACUUUAACUGUUGCUCAGAAGUGCACAUCUGACUAAGUUCAAGCACAGCCUCAGCGUGUGUUUGGUGACUCCCUUGAGCCCUCGGAACCCCAACAACCGGGCACGCUGGUGUGACGUGGUGGCUGGCAGGAGUCCCUCUGACCCAGGCUGGUUCGCAUUACAGCUAGAAUUCUCCACACACACUUAAUCCAAGGUCACCAUGGAGCUACUAUGCAAAUUGCUUUAAUGUAAGACCAAGGGGCCCAGAAUUGCUGGGCUACCAGAUUCCAAACUAUGAAAAUGCCUCGAGGGAAAUUUUAUAACGCCAUGAAAUGCAGACACACCACAUUAGUAGCACUUUAUGGACCUAUGUUGAGAGCGUGUGUGAG